rnacentral:rRNA from 1 species
UACGUAGGGUGCGAGCGUUAAUCGGAAUUACUGGGCGUAAAGCGUGCGCAGGCGGUUCGUUAAGUCAGAUGUGAAAGCCCCGGGCUCAACCUGGGAACUGCAUUUGAAACUGGGGAGCUAGAGUGUGGAAGAGGGGGGUGGAAUUCCAGGUGUAGCAGUGAAAUGCGUAGAGAUCUGGAGGAACACCGAUGGCGAAGGCAGCCCCCUGGGCUAACACUGACGCUCAUGCACGAAAGCGUGGGGAGCAAACAGG